rnacentral:rRNA from 1 species
GACGAACGCUGGCGGCGUGGAUUAGGCAUGCAAGUCGAACGGUAGGAUACCUUCGGGUAUCUGAGAGUGGCGAACGGGUGAGUAACACGUAGGUGAUCUACCCUCAAGAUUGGGACAACCCAGGGGAAACUUGGGCUAAUACCGGAUGAAAGCAGCAGUGAUGUUGUUUGAAAGGUGGCGUAAGCUGCCGUUUGGGGAUGAGCCUGCGCUCUAUUAGUUAGUUGGCGGGGUAAAGGCCCACAAGGCGAUGAUAGAUAGGCGGCCUUAACGGGUGUCGCCCACACUGGGAUUGAGAUACGGCCCAGACUCCUACGGGAGGCAGCAGUCGAGAAUAGUCUACGAAUUGGCCGAAAGGCUGAUAGUGCGACGCCGCGUGAACGAAGAAGCCCUUGGGGUGUAAAGUUCUUUUAUAUGUGAGCAGUGCUUUCUAUGUGAACAGCAUGGGGAGAGAGAUAUUAGCAUAUGAAUAAGCAAACGGCUAAACUCCGUGCCCAGC